AUUGAACGCUGGCGGCAUGCCUUACACAUGCAAGUCGAACGGCAGCACGGGAGCAAUCCUGGUGGCGAGUGGCGAACGGGUGAGUAAUGUAUCGGAACGUGCCCAGUCGUGGGGGAUAACGUAGCGAAAGCUACGCUAAUACCGCAUACGAUCUGUGGAUGAAAGCGGGGGACCGUAAGGCCUCGCGCGAUUGGAGCGGCCGAUAUCAGAUUAGGUAGUUGGUGGGGUAAAGGCCUACCAGGCCGACGAUCUGUAGCUGGUCUGAGAGGACGACCAGCCACACUGGGACUGAGACACGGCCCAGACUCCUACGGGAGGCCGCAGUGGGGAAUUUUGGACAAUGGGCGCAAGCCUGAUCCAGCAAUGCCGCGUGCAGGAUGAAGGCCUUCGGGUUGUAAACUGCUUUUGUACGGAGCGAAAAGGCUCUCUCUAAUACAGGGGGCUCAUGACGGUACCGUAAGAAUAAGCACCGGCUAACUACGUGCCAGCCGCCGCAGUAA
rnacentral:rRNA from 1 species